UACGGAGGGUGCAAGCGUUUAUCCGGAUUCACUGGGUUUAAAGGGUGCGUAGGCGGACAGGUAAGUCAGUGGUGAAAUCUCUGGGCUUAACUCAGAAACUGCCGUUGAUACUAUUUGUCUUGAAUGUCAUGGAGGUAAGCGGAAUAUGUCAUGUAGCGGUGAAAUGCUUAGAUAUGACAUAGAACACCGAUAGCGAAGGCAGCUUACUACAUGAAGAUUGACGCUGAGGCACGAAAGCGUGGGGAGCAAACAGG
rnacentral:rRNA from 1 species